rnacentral:siRNA from 1 species
GAAACAGUAAAACACUCGACCAA